CGCACUUGAUAUGGACUAUAUAUUUAUAAAAUUAAUCAUUUAUGUGCGCAUUAUAAUCUUUAAAAAAGGUCAAAACAAAAUUGCUGUUAUUUUUGUUUACAUUUACUCAGAACUUUUUUUAAAGGCAUUAAUGUGUACAUUUUUUUUCCAAGACAUUGUUUAAAAUUAAGUUAUGAAUUAUAUGUGCAUUUAUAUUGUAUGUACAUUUUUGUCUUACCAAAUACUUUGCUUUAAAAUACAAAAAUAAAAAUAUUACACUUCUCUUUAUAACUGCCGA